rnacentral:rRNA from 1 species
UGGUGGCGAUAGCGAGAAGGAUACACCUGUUCCCAUGCCGAACACAGAAGUUAAGCUUCUUAGCGCCGAUUGUAGUGA